rnacentral:lncRNA from 1 species
UUUAAAUGUUAAAAAUACUCUUUUAUUCAAAAUCUCUCAAUCUAUUUAGAAUAGUUGCUAAUUGGAAAUAUGACGUUAAUUAUCUUUUUUUGACCUGUUAGGGAGAAGACAACUUAUUCCCUAGUUAUUAUUAGUAAAUAUAAUAACUACAGUUAUUAGUGGCUUAAGAUACCAGAAACCCCCAAAUAUUGUCUUAGAAAACACAUUUUAUUUUAACCAAGAUCUGACAGCCAUUGUGGAAAGUUAUGUUCGUGAGAUUGGAUGCUUAAUGAGAAUCUUAAUUGUUUAAGUAUAUUUUUCAGUGGCUGUUGGAUGUAGCUUAAGAUGAUUAGAAAUUUUUAUUAUUUCUAAAAGUGAGUUAAGAAAGCACUCCGAUACAAUAUUGAAUGUAUUUAUAUUUUAACUCUACCUUUGUAUAGGUGGUUUUAUGUACCUUUAACCAUUACAAACCAAAUAACAUUUUCUUGGUAUUUGAAAAACUGAUAAAAUAUUCGAUUACGUGUAUUUUAAUAUAUAUACAUAGAGUGGUAUGGAUGUUGAAUUUAUAUCUUUGACAUCUUUUCAC